GGGUUGAGGUCCACCCCCUGCCGUCCGCCGGGAGACGUGUUUCGCCACGCCCGGGCCAUGGGCGGCCCCGUCCCGAAAUUUUCUGGGAGUUGUGGUCCGCGGGUCGCUGCCUCCGGGUCCAGCGCCUGCAGAGCCAACCUAAGCUUUGCCGAACCAGUCCUGAGAUAAUGAUCAACUAGACCAAGAUUACCUGCUUUGCCAACUAUGCAGAUCCCCCAGCAGUGCAACCCCCCUAUGCUUGCCUUUGUUCCCCUUUUUUAAAAAGCCUAAAAAAUUCCUGUAGCCCCCGCUGACAGAUAUUAGGUCUCUGGGCCUUUUUCUGUCCUUCCUACUGCCGCCACACUGAUUAAAGCUCCUUUCCUGCCUUUA